rnacentral:misc_RNA from 1 species
UCAAACUUGGUCAUUUAGAGGAAGUAAAAGUCGUAACAAGGUUUCCGUAGGUGAACCUGCGGAAGGAUCAUUAUUGAAUAACUUGCCUUGAUGGGUUGUAGCUGGCCUCUUGAGGCAUGUGCACGCCUGUCUUGACUCUAUUCAUCCACCUGUGCACCUUUUGUAGUUCUUUACUCUGAUGUUCACAGCUUUCAUUCAGUUGAGACACACUGGAUUUGAGGAUUGCCUGUCAUAAGGCUCUACUCUUCUCGGCCGAACUCAGAUGAGGAACUAUGUACUUUAUCACAAACCAUGUAGUAUGUUGUCAGAAUGUAUUCAAUGGGCCUCUGUGCCUAUAAAUCAUAUACAACUUUCAGCAACGGAUCUCUUGGCUCUCGCAUCGAUGAAGAACGCAGC